GUUUGUUUCUGACACUGAAUACACCCAAUCUCAUCUGAUCUACAAAGCUAAGCAGGGUUGGGCCUGGUUAGUAUUUGGAUGGGAGACUACCUGGGAAUACCAGGUGCUGUAAGCU
rnacentral:rRNA from 1 species